CUCAGAUUGAACGCUGGCGGCAGGCCUAACACAUGCAAGUCGAGCGGAAACGAGUUAACUGAACCUUCGGGGGACGUUAACGGCGUCGAGCGGCGGACGGGUGAGUAAUGCCUAGGAAAUUGCCCUGAUGUGGGGGAUAACCAUUGGAAACGAUGGCUAAUACCGCAUGAUGCCUACGGGCCAAAGAGGGGGACCUUCGGGCCUCUCGCGUCAGGAUAUGCCUAGGUGGGAUUAGCUAGUUGGUGAGGUAAGGGCUCACCAAGGCGACGAUCCCUAGCUGGUCUGAGAGGAUGAUCAGCCACACUGGAACUGAGACACGGUCCAGACUCCUACGGGAGGCAGCAGUGGGGAAUAUUGCACAAUGGGCGCAAGCCUGAUGCAGCCAUGCCGCGUGUGUGAAGAAGGCCUUCGGGUUGUAAAGCACUUUCAGUCGUGAGGAAGGUUUAUGCGUUAAUAGCGUAUAGAUUUGACGUUAGCGACAGAAGAAGCACCGGCUAACUCCGUGCCAGCAGCCGCGGUAAUACGGAGGGUGCGAGCGUUAAUCGGAAUUACUGGGCGUAAAGCGCAUGCAGGUGGUUUGUUAAGUCAGAUGUGAAAGCCCGGGGCUCAACCUCGGAAUAGCAUUUGAAACUGGCAGACUAGAGUACUGUAGAGGGGGGUAGAAUUUCAGGUGUAGCGGUGAAAUGCGUAGAGAUCUGAAGGAAUACCGGUGGCGAAGGCGGCCCCC
rnacentral:rRNA from 1 species